AAGCAGAAUAAAAAAGCACGAAGAGAAAAGCAUAAAAUAAGUAGACAAGAUAUUUACAAGCAUCAUAAGAUACUGCUUUCCUUCUUCAGAUGAAUUCCAGGUCUGCAUUUGAGUCAUGUUAAUCCAAUUCCCUGAUACUGAACCAUACUGCUGUUUCUAAAUGGUUUUUUGGGAGACGUUUUACUAUUAUAUUGGGUUCUUUUUAUAUAUAAAUACUCUGAAUCCAGAGCUUUGUUGGAUUUUCAUUAGUGCAUGAUUGUACUAGACGUUCCAUUCCAUUGUCUUUCGUUACCUCUUUUCUAGAGAAGUACAGAACAGCAUCUCCGAUACUCAGGUAACAUCUAAUUAGUUCAAUAUUUACUGAUGUAUUGAUCAAGUCAGACCUUUUAAAUAGGAGCAAAAUGUUGACGUAUAGCUAAAAAUGGACUAAGGAACAGGAGGAAAUGUUAACUAUUUUAUUUGUUUAUACUGUUGUUAAAGAAUUAAUGAACUAUUUUAACACUUUUGAUACUGUAUUUACCUCUUGCUAUAUUCUGUUCUGGUGAUAGAAUUUUAAAUUGCUUCUUACUGUGUAGUAAUUUUUGCUAAAAAUAAUUAUAUUUCAUGUUGUGUCUUACUGUGGGAUGAAAGUACACUGUGUUUUUCUAGAAUCCCCAUAACAUUAUUUUAAUAUUCCUAUCUACUUUCACCACUGAAGUUUUCCCAAGUAGGAUGAAUUCAUAAAUUCUCCAAUGUAACUCCUCACUCCUGAUUUCACUGAAAGUCCUAGUUGCAGUUUCUCACUCUUCACUUCAUAAAAUAUUUAAAAGAAUGAUUCUUGGUGGCCGCUUUUGUUAUUACCUUGGAAGAAGGGAUCUGGCAGGGAGGUUUUAAGUUAUUCUUCCUUCCAGUUUGGUUCCUUUCUAAAAACUGGCUUCCAAUUGUCAGUUUCCGGUCCUCUGACUCUUGAGUUUGAUUUGAGGAACGAAACAAUGAUAUCAAAUUUUAACUAACUUUAAGUAUGUUUCUUAUAAUUUAAAAACUAGAUUACACACACAAGAAAACUCUCAGUGGAUGUUUAAAAAGGUUGGCUAUCAUCCUAUUUAUCUGAAAGUAUUAUACAAUACAUAUGAAAAAAUGUUACUGUACAUGCAUUGGUCUUGUCCACCAUUAGCUUUUGGGAUAUACAUUAUUACUGUAGUGAACCAGGUCAUAGGGAGGAAAUUAAUAUUCAAAGAUGUUAAAGUGUUGUUGAAUUAUGUCACCGAAUUUGAAACUGGUCUGUUUGUGAAGACUUUGGAUGUCUUCAACUGUUGCAAAGAAAGAAAAAAGGUAAUUGUGUUUUCUUGGAAGGACACAUGUAUAUCAACUAAAUCUCCUAACUCUCAGUCUUUAAAUUAGUUCUUU